GCCUCGAUAGCUCAGUUGGUAGAGCAAGGGACUGAAAAUCCCUGUGUCACUGGUUCGAUUCCCGUUCGAGGCACCA
rnacentral:tRNA from 7 species